UACGGAGGGGGCUAGCGUUGUUCGGAAUUACUGGGCGUAAAGCGUGCGCAGGCGGUUCGCUAAGACCGAUGUGAAAUCCCCGGGCUUAACCUGGGAACUGCAUUGGUGACUGGCGAGCUAGAGUGUGGCAGAGGGGGGUAGAAUUCCACGUGUAGCAGUGAAAUGCGUAGAGAUGUGGAGGAAUACCGAUGGCGAAGGCAGCCCCCUGGGCUAACACUGACGCUCAUGCACGAAAGCGUGGGGAGCAAACAGG
rnacentral:rRNA from 1 species